CACUGACCCGCUGUUACUUUUAUCCCUUUCGUCUUCCUGGCCUCUGCUUGCUGUGUUUAUUUCCUCGGCGCCGUCGCUUCCACUGUUUUCCCCUUUCGUCUGAGCUCGGCGGAUCCACGCUGUUCGUGUCCUGUCCGUUGUUGCUUUCGUUCUUUGCUUUGCCUUCUUCUGCCCGGCCUACUGUGUUGCCUUGGCGUGGCCGCCGUAUUUGCUGUGUCUGUCGGAUUCACCAUCGCUGAGCUCGCCGUACCACGGUGGGGGCUUUGCCCUUGCCGCCGUGGGCCUAUCUGGUGUUCGUUUCGUCUGUGUGCCAGAUCCAGAUGACUUCGGCGUCUGCCCGUUGGUGUCUGUCGUUCUUGCUGGGUUGUUAGCUUCUUUGGUUUCUGUUCGUUGGUCAGCUUACAGGCUUGGUUUCUUCGGUUUGGUUAUUGUUUAUUGCUUGCAUCAUUUCAGCGCUGCGGAUUGCCUAGGUAAUUCCUGCCUCUUCUUUUAAUCACCUCUGUGCUUAUCGUCUUAUGCCUUUGUUUUACUCUGCUAACUGAUGCACGCCACUUCCUGUCUGUUUUCCUUUCCUUCUUCCUACUAAAUAGUUAGCAUCAGACAUGAAUAGUCGAUGAGGUCACAGUUUUGAAAUUCAUCCUUUAUACACUGAUGAGUUUUUGCUAAUUUGCAUCAUUGUUAUGCUGCUCUUAUCUUUUGUAACUCCUUUGAUUAUACAACUGCCAUUCGUGGGCUAUAAUUUUGUUGCGCUGAAUUUGUGCUUGGUUCAUAAGUAGUUGCAGGAAACAUUUAGGUCUAUCAAUAUCCAUUUCUAAAAUUCAGAGAUACAUACAGACAUAUAUGCUUCACUUCAUAGGAAACAUUCAGGUGUAUCAAAUUUGAGACACUCUAUCAUUGCAGACCACAUGAGGCAUAGAAGCUCUUAAUGCCCGCGCGCUCACUCAAGCCUAAAUUAUCUUCCAAACCAUACAUGGAUACCUCCACCAUGUAGACCUGAAGCAGCUAACGAUGUCAUACAUGGUCCAGCUAAUUUAUGUAAAAAGCACUAGACUGUAGUAUCAGCUGUUACAACUUUUGUAGUAUGUCACAUUGGUAUUAUGGUGUGCAUAGGAUCCAUAUAUAUUAUGUUGUUGCUAUGUAUGCACUACUAAUAUAUAUCAAAAUGUAUCGUUGUGCAUGUGUUAUCCAUGCACAACAGAAUCAAACUUAUAUAUGUAUGCUCUCUAAAUAUUUGUUACAAGUAGCUAGGACUUAAUAUCUCUUUAGUCCCCAAUCAAAAGAAAUUACAGCUUCUCAUUCUUUCUUCACACAAAAUUUCAGAUUUUUUUUGUAAACUUAAUUAGAAGAACCUACACCAACUCAACAGGAAGACUAUGAAGCCCAUAGCCCCAUACUGUAUAGCCCACUUAAAAAAAAAAGUUGGUCCUAUAGGCCCAACAAAGUAAAUAAAAAAAGGACACAAAAAAGGCAAAAAAAAGAUAGAACUUUGAAGAGGCUCCUAGAAAUUAGGUGAGCACACUGACAACAUUAACUCAUCCCCACUUCUCCCUCAUCCAGACACUCCCACACAUACACCUCUCACUUCGGCGCCAUCACCAGACCCAUCUUCUUCACCAAGUUAUCCAACUCCGCCCCCUCUGCUACCCACCCACUGGCCUCCAUAGCUAAUCAGCACCACACCUAAAAGCACCCUGUCCAAUCCACAGUCACAUAGGAUAGGCGAAGCAAGAUUGUUGCCUGCACAGGAUAUCAACAUUGCAGCUCCAAUCUCUAUCUCUAUCCACGUGGCACCAUGGCACCAAGAAUGUACUGCGACAACGCCUCAGUCCACAUUCUGUACACUUGAAUCUACAAGAUCGUCGCCGUGCACAAGGUCAAAGAAACAAGAUGCCAGCAUACCAGUACCCCAAUCUCACAAUAAUUGAAGAAGGACAACUUCAACGGGACGAAAGAGAUGUGUUUCAGGCUGCGGUCAUCUUCGAAGUGCCACCUUCGGCGAUGCAUAUUAUAGGACACGAAGAAAUCAACAACGCAAUACAUCAACAACUUCGGGUCGACAUAAAUGUACAAGACAUAUCAAAGUUUGGCUCUAAUUACUUCAUAAAGACUAACUGUCAACAGACAACUGCCCCGAUGCUACAGCACACCUUCCUCAAAGUUGGCUCACACACACUAACACUUAAACCAUGGAACCCAUAUUACAACGCCAUCAUAUUUCCUUGUGAGACACAGACCACCAACCUCAGAUUCACCAAUUUGGCCAAUUCUUCCCAGAGAACGCUAACUGUUCAGAUUUCUGGAAUACCGCCGCAUCUCUGCUGUGAUUUCACAGUGAACCGGCUCCUCAGUGAAAUAUGCACUAUCCAUACCAUUUCAUUUGAGCCCGCGACACUAUCACUCAAUUGAUGUGCAUGGAUCACAAACUCUCAUGCCUCAAGCAGCACAUGUAGCACUUAGCAAGACACCCAUGGUCCUCUCCUCAACAUUUGGCCAAUAUGGUACGACACAUAUGUACAAGAAAUGCUUGGCCAACUAUCCCCGACAACCUAUGAUUGGAUGCCAUCUUUACACAUGGAGGUGACACGGAUCUGGACACAUAGCAAAGACAUGAAGCAUGACUCAGGUAUCCAAAAACUAAACAACUGCACUCAUAUAUAGGUGAACAGAACGAAGUUAACUCUCAGCCAUGAGGCGGAACGCCACACAAUCCGGAUACAGACUCAUCCAUUAGCAUUUCAAGCGAUGACGAACACGGAUGGGAAUCAGAUUGAAGCAUAAACAUUGGUUGAUGCUGGUGCUUUGGGAGAAGCAACCAAACUGUAAAACCCAGAGCUCUCUUUCCGUGUGAAAUAUUUUUGUAUGUUAUGUAAAGUAAGGACCUAACAUCUUAUGAUGCUUUCGUAUGGUCAGCACAAUCAACAUGUACUAAACUUGUUUCAAAAAAAUAUACUAAACCUGAUAACUGCUAAAGUAUGUAGUAGUCCUCUCUAUAUAUAACCAUAUCGUCUAUAUUAUCCUUCCGUACCACCAUGGCUGACUCCACGAUUGUCUGUACUCGCGCGCAAAUGCGCGCGUCGACCACUAGUUCUCCCCUAAAUUCUCCGACGGCUUCCAGGAAGAGAAGCAGGUGCCACGUCGCCUGGAAUUCUCGUGUCCGUCGGAUUUCCCAACGGAUGGCCACGGUUCUUCAAAGCAGAUUGUUCCGGAAGCCGAUUCCGCUGCUUCUCGCCAGAUUCUUUCGCUUCUUACCUGCUUCCGCCGCUUCUCGUCCGAAUCUAUAUAAUCAAAUAUAUAGGCCAGCUUCGGCUUCUCCUACCCGCUUCUCACCCCUUCCUCUCUCCUCUUCGCGUCUCUCCCCGACGCUGGCAGGAGCGAUGGCGGCUCCCGGGACCGGGGCUCGACGGCGGCGCCCACCUUCCUCCUCCUCCUCCGUUCCUCCCUCCUCGCCUGCUUCGCACCUCCGUUCCUCCCUCCCCUUCAUCUCUCUCUCCCUCCCUCCCGAGGUGGCGGCGGGCGCGAGGUGACGGGCUGACGGCGGCCCUCGCGGGCAGCGCUCCGACGCGGCUGUGGCCCGGCGGCCCCUCCCUCUCCCUCAGCCUCCACGCGGUCUCCUCGAUGCCUCCUCCCGCUGGGGAGCAUCAGCAUGUGCUUCUGUGCUCGACGAAACCCUAGCACAUGCAGCUGUGCAGGCGCGGCGGCCCCUCCAUGGGCACACCUCGACGCCGCGUCAGUCUGCGUUUCUUCCUCCAGCUGUUAUACGUGCUAUUGCCUAUGGAUCAAUAUGCAUGCAAUUGACAGUACUCCCUACGGAUCAAAUAUACAUGCACUUCAGAAAUUUAAAGGGUUCAUGUUGAUUCAACUUGGUCAUUGUGCUGCUGUUGGAGCUCAGGACAUGCAUCAUUUGCGCAGGGAUAUUCGGUUUAGUAUGUGGCAUUUCUAUUCUAUGUGAUAAUUUGAUGUUUCAAAUAGCACGUCCUUAUGUAGAUAUGCACUGAUUGUUUCUUAGCAGGAUCACCUCCAAACAAAUUAGAUCAGCGAUCUUUUUUUGUCACUUUGAUUUAUCCACCACUCUAAAUUGAUUUAGCACCUGAGCAAGUUGUCAAUGACAUGUUAGUUUCAGGAUUCUGCCUAGGUUAGUGGAGGACUUGGCGGACGGUAGCAUUGACUAAAAUUUGCCCAAUUUUGCCUAGUUGUAUAUCUCAUUGAAUGACAACCCAACCUACUGAGCUCUGUUCAAGCUGUCAAACUUGCAACAUCUUCUCCUAUCGACCAACGGUGAUGCCACCAUACUAAAAAUUAAUGACUUUGGGUUUGCCAAGUGAGAGCAGUUAUGGGCAGAUAGAAGGGUUUGUUUGCUGUUGGAAUUCUGUACAGAUCCUAUCUCCUACAGUGCAUCAAACAAAAAAAAGGGUGACGAUGUAAAGGGUUAAUGAAGAUGGGAGAUGCAGAGGCGUCAGUCCGUGUGUAUGAUAAGGCGAACUUCCUUGGCCCAUUUUUUUCAGAUAAUGGCUUGGUUAACUUUGAGAAGAAAGAUUCCUAUGUACAGCUUUCACUGUCCCUAAUCUCUUCAAAAUGUUACCAACUUAUGUAACAUACAUGGCUUCAAACAUAUAUGUACGUGGCUUCUGUUAUCAGCAUGUAAACGCAUCAGAGGCUAUGCGUGUGUAAUAGACGCAUCCUGUACAUGUAUAUCUCUAGGAUCAUUAUCUUGUUACGGACAACUUGCAGUAUUUACUGACUCACGCGCGCGAUGGCGCGCGGGUUGUACUAGUAUAUGUUUCUUUCCCCCGCCACGAAAAGGAAAAGAGGUGAGGCGCACGAUUUCCAAAACGCUGCGUGUUUUAUAGACAUUUGACUGAUAAGUUAUGGCAGAAAGUACUGUUGGCUGAUU